UACAGAGGUCCCGAGCGUUGUUCGGAUUUAUUGGGCGUAAAGGGUGCGUAGGCGGCGGAGUAAGUUGGGUGUGAAAUCCCGGGGCUCAACCUCGGAAUUGCAUUCAAUACUGCUUCGCUCGAGUACUGGAGAGGAGGCUGGAAUUUACGGUGUAGCAGUGAAAUGCGUAGAUAUCGUGAGGAAGACCAGUGGCGAAGGCGGAUCUCUGGACAGCUCCUGACGCUGAGGCGCGAAGGCUAGGGGAGCAAACGGG
rnacentral:rRNA from 1 species